UACAGAGGGUGCGAGCGUUGUUCGGAAUUCCUGGGCGUAAAGGGCGCGUAGGCGGUGUGUCAAGUCAGGCGUGAAAGCCCCGGGCUCAACCUGGGAACCGCGCUUGAGACUGGCACGCUAGAGUUCGGGAGAGGAUGGUGGAAUUCCCAGUGUAGAGGUGAAAUUCGUAGAUAUUGGGAAGAACACCGAUGGCGAAGGCAGCCAUCUGGACCGACACUGACGCUGAGGCGCGAAAGCGUGGGGAGCAAACAGG
rnacentral:rRNA from 1 species